CCUCCUUUCUAAGGACGCCGGAGAUGCUUUAUGCUUAUCUCCGGAUAGUCAAAGUCGAAACAGACUCUCUUCUCUUCUCUCCCUUUUCUCCUGUAAAUGCUAAGUUAUGAAUUUAGAGCAACGAAGGAAUUAAAUUCGUUACUGUGGACUCCUAAUUUCAAGAGGGGCCUGUAGCUCAGCUUGGUUAGAGCGCAUCCCUGAUAAGGAUGAGGCCGGUGGUUCAAGUCCACCCAGGCCCACCAGUUUCAGUGGGGGAUUAGCUCAGCUGGUAAAGCGCCUGCUUUGCAAGCAGGAGGUCAGCGGUUCGACCCCGCUAUCCUCCACCAAAUUAAUGAACAGUAAAAAAGGUGGNG
rnacentral:misc_RNA from 1 species